rnacentral:rRNA from 1 species
CGGCCGCGUCGACCGAGCGCAACCCUCAUGUUCUGUUGCCAGCGGGUAAUGCCGGGAACUCGGAACAAACUGCCUCUGUAAAGAGGAGGAAGGUGGGGAUGACGUCAAGUCAUCAUGCCCCUUACAUCUUGGGCUGCACAUAUGCUACAAUGGCCGGUACAAAGAGUUGCUAACCCGCGAGGGCAUGCUAAUCUCAAAAAGCCGGUCUCAGUUCGGAUUGGAGUCUGCAACUCGACUCCAUGAAGUUGGAAUCGCUAGUAACCGCAGGUCAGCAAUACUGCGGUGAAUACGUUCCCGGGCCUUGCACAC